GCUCUCUGGCUCGUGCCCCCAGCUGAGGGGCUCGUACCUGUCCCGCAGCCGGUUUUGGGUGGCUCACGGAUGAAUCCCUUUGCCUAUAGGUGCCACUGUUGCUCUGCACACACGCCCGAGUCGCCAAUGCCCUUCAGUAGCAAACCCAACCUUGAAAAAGCAAACCUAAAUCACGGUGGCUAAAAUGUUGCAGACGUAGAACUCCAGCCAGACCAUGGCCAGGGGCUUGUCCAUGCCAAGACUAAGAUGGAAAUGAGAAACCACAAUAAUCAUAGAGGCUUAUGAUUCCAUGGAAUCCAUCCUCGAGGUGGUACCAGGUCACCCGGACACCGUUGUCCUCCAGCCUCUUCUUGUACAACAAGCCGUCGUCCCGCAGCACGUCGUACUCACAGGUCAGGAUGAAAGAUUCUGGCAGCUGCUGAACAACAGAGUCUUCAGCCAACAGAGGGCACAGGUUGGGCUCACAGAAUCUCUUCACCGUCUCAUAAACUUCAGCUAUAAAAUCAGUGGGCCUACGUGGUCUCACACCUCUGACCUUAAAUUUCUCAGGGAUGUUGUCUGGACUCACCCACUUCGUGUACUUCACCCUCAUGUCUGGAGGAAUAUGAGAGCCCUCCAAGACCUCUUGCAUGUGCAGUGCAUCUCCAUUUAGGUACAGCAAAGCAAAGAAAGCAGCACGUUCUCGGAAUAACAAGGGGACUCCUCGGUUUUGAUGAUAAGACGGUAAAUUGAAGUCCAGGGCCUGAAGGCCCGGGUAGAGCAGGAUCUGAGCACGCAGUUUGGGGAAGUCUGACCUGCCUGCAAGGGUCUGGCUCACAGCAGCUGCCAGGUUGCCCCCAGCACUGUCCCCACAGACAGUGACCCGGGCAGGGUCCACGCCGUAGUGCUCCAGGCGGAGCAGGAAGUGCUGGGUGGCGUUCAGGCAGUCCUCGUAGGCAGCGGGGUAUUUGUGCUCGGGGGCCAGACGGUACCUGGGACACAGAGAGGCAAGUGUGAGAGAAGGGAAUGUUGUCAGUAGUAAUCAGGAAAUGGUGUCAUAUUUCUGCCCUUCAGCCCUAUCAUUUUGGGGUGCUCUUGUUCCACAUCACCUCCUAAGCAGGCACUCCUCAGUUUGUGACUGCACAUAAGCUGUAAAUUGUGUAUUCAGUCACAAGGACUCACUGAAGUAGGAUUGCCUCUGAUUAAGGAUCUGACCAAGGAAUUGUGCAAGGUCUUAGUCACACUCAAAACUUCCUCUGUACUCUUGCCAAGAAAAUUAAACAUUUUGUGCCUCUGCUUCCUAUGUUAAAA